rnacentral:tRNA from 1 species
GGCAAGAUGGCCGAGUGGUUAAGGCGUGACGUUUAGGUAUUCAUCUAAUGAAUUUCGAACCGUCAUGGGAAACCGCGUGGGUUCGAAUCCCACUCUUGUCA